rnacentral:rRNA from 1 species
AUGCAAGUCGAGGGCGAGCAUGGGAUUAGCUUGCUAAUCCUGAUGGCGACCGGCGCACGGGUGAGUAACGCGUAUCCAACCUUCCCCUUACUCAGGUAUAGCCCGGUGAAAACCGGAUUAACCCCUGAUGGUUUCACUAGAUGGCAUCUGACGGUGAAUAAAGCUUUGCGGUAAGGGAUGGGGAUGCGUCUGAUUAGCUUGUUGGCGGGUAACGGCCCACCAAGGCAACGAUCAGUAGGGGUUCUGAGAGGAAGGUCCUCCACAUUGGAACUGAGACACGGUCCAAACUCCUACGGGAGGCAGCAGUGAGGAAUAUUGGUCAAUGGGCGAGAGCCUGAACCAGCCAAGUAGCGUGCAAGGAUGACGGCCCUAUGGGUUGUAAACUGCUUUUGUACGGGAAUAAAGUCAUCCACGUGUGGAUGUUUGCAUGUACCGUAAGAAUAAGGACCGGCUAAUUCCGUGCCAGCAGCAGC